GAUGAACGCUAGCGGGAGGCCUAACACAUGCAAGCCGAGCGGUAUUGUUUCUUCGGAAAUGAGAGAGCGGCGUACGGUGCGGAACACGUGUGCAACCUGCCUUUAUCUGGGGAUAGCCUUUCGAAAGGAAGAUUAAUACUCCAUAAUAUAUUGAACGGCAUCGUUUAAUAUUGAAAGCUCCGGCGGAUAGAGAUGGGCACGCGCAAGAUUAGCUAGUUGGUGAGGUAACGGCUCACCAAGGCAAUGAUCUUUAGGGGGCCUGAGAGGGUGAUCCCCCACACUGGUACUGAGACACGGACCAGACUCCUACGGGAGGCAGCAGUGAGGAAUAUUGGUCAAUGGGUGCAAGCCUGAACCAGCCAUCCCGCGUGAAGGACGACUGCCCUAUGGGUUGUAAACUUCUUUGUAUAGGGAUAAACCUACUCUCGUGAGGGUAGCCGAAGGUACUAUACGAAUAAGCACCGGCUAACUCCGUGCCAGCAGCCGCGGUAAU
rnacentral:rRNA from 1 species